AGAGUUUGAUCCUGGCUCAGGAUGAACGCUGGCGGUGUGCUUUAGGCAUGCAAGUCGAACGGUAACAUAAGGAGCUUGCUCCUUGAUGACGAGUGGCAGACGGGUGAGUAACGCGUAGGAAUCUACCUUUUAGUGGGGAAUAGCUCAUCGAAAGAUGAGGUAAUACCGCAUAAUCUCUAAGGAGGAAAGCCUUCGGGCGCUGAAAGAGGAGCCUGCGUGCUAUCAGCUAGUUGGUGAGGUAAAAGCUCACCAAGGCAGUGACGGCUAGGGGGCGUGAGAGCGUGGCCCCCCACAAGGUUACUGAGACACGGAGCCUACACCUACGGGUGGCAGCAACCGGGAAUAUUGCGCAAUGGGCGAAAGCCUGACGCAGCGACACCGCGUGUGGGAUGACGGCCUUCGGGUUGUAAACCACUGUGGCGAGGGAAGAAUACUUUGACGGUACCUCGCUAGAAAGCACCUGCUAACUACGUGCCAGAAGCCUCGGUAAUACGUAGGGUGCAAGCGUUAUCCGGAUUUACUGGGCGUAAAGGGUUUCGCAGGCGGACUGUUUAGUCGACUCUUAAAGACCAAGGCUCAACUUUGGGAAUGGAGGCGAUACUGGCAGUCUAGAGGAUGUGAGGGGAGACCGGAAUUCUUGGUGGAGGGGUGAAAUCCGUUGAUAUCAAGAGGAAUGCCAAUGGCGGAUGCAGGUCUCUGGCGCAUUCCUGACGCUCAUGUACGAAAGCUUGGGUAGCAAAAGGGAUUAGAGACCCCUGUAGUCCAAGCCGUAAACGAUGGAUACUAGAUGCUCGUUCUUUUGAGCGAGUGUCGUAAGCUAACGCGUUAAGUAUCCCGCCUGGGUAGUACGGCCGCAAGGCUAAAACUCAAAGGAAUUGACGGGGGAGCGCACAACCGGUGGAGCAUGUGGUUUAAUUCGAUACAAAGCGUAGGACCUUACCUGGACUUGACAUGUAUCUGCACGCCCUGUGAAAGCAGGGAAGCCUACGAGGGUGAUACACAGGUGUUGCAUGGCUGUCGUCAGCUCGUGUCGUGAGACGUCCGCUUAAGUGCGGUAACGAGCGCAACCCUUAUCGUAUGUUGAAUAUUCAUGCGAGACUGCCUUACAACAAGUAGGGAGGAAGGAGAGGACGACGUCAAGUCAGCAUGACCCUUACGUCCAGGGCAACACACAUCCUACAAUGGCUAGUACAACGGGUCGCGAUGCCGCAAGGCUCAGCUAAUCCUAUAAAACUAGUCUCAGUUCGGAUUGUAGGCUGCAAUUCGCCUACAUGAAGUCGGAAUCGGUAGUAAUCGCAGGUCAGAAGACUGCGGUGAAUACGUUCUCGCUCCUUGUACACACUGCCCGUCAAGCCAGCAAAGUUGGCAAUGCCCGAAGCGGAUGUUCCCAACCAUUUAUUUGGAGGGACUCUUCUAAGGCGAGGUCAGCGAUGAGGACUAAGUCGUAACAAGGUA
rnacentral:rRNA from 1 species